rnacentral:rRNA from 1 species
GAUGAACGCUGGCGGCGUGCCUUAUACAUGCAAGUCGAGUGGGCUUAGACCGACGGCAAUCGGGUGAGUAACGCGUCGGUACUUUCCUUGUCACAGGAAUAACCCUCCGAUAGGAGGGCUAAUACUUGAUGUGAUCGCAGGUUAAAAGGGUAACUGCAUGGAUUCCCGGACGACAAGAGGCAUGCUGCCUAUCAACUAGUGUGCGGGGUGAAUGCCCACCACGGCAAUGACGGGUAGCUGGUCUUAUGAGGAUGAGCAGUCACAUGGGCACGGAGGCACGGGCCCGACACCUACGGGAGGCAGCAGUAGGGAAAUGUGCGCAAGGGGCGAAAGCCUGACGGAGCGACGCCGCGUGCGAGAUGAAUGCCUUCGAGGCGUAAACGGCUUUUAUAAGGGACGAACUUUGACGGUACCUAAUGAAUAAGAGGUGGCUAACUCUGUG